rnacentral:lncRNA from 1 species
UAAAGCUUGAGUUUAUAAAAAUUAAAGAAGCAAGUAAUAAUAUCAAUUUAAACCAAUUAUAAAAGAUUCAUGUAACUAAUUAAGAUUUGGAACAAAUUUUACAUAUAUCCAAUAUGAUUGUUUUGGCACAAAUUUCCACCCUGCACAUUUCAAAUGUUGCCAGUCGAAACAGCAAUCAUGAAUUUCUUUUAUACAAUUGUAUGAAAUUUAACGCCUGAUAGUUCUGUACAAGUUUU